rnacentral:tRNA from 2 species
ACUUAAAUAGCUUAUUUAGAGUAUAACUUUGAAGGUGUUAGGGAAGUCUUGGACUUUUAAGUA